UGCAAGUCGAACGAAACCUUUAGGGGUUUAGUGGCGGACGGGUGAGUAACGCGUGAGAAUCUGGCUUCAGGUCUGGGACAACCACUGGAAACGGUGGCUAAUACCGGAUGUGCCGAGAGGUGAAAGGUUAACUGCCUGAAGAUGAGCUCGCGUCUGAUUAGCUAGUUGGCAGUGUAAUGGACUACCAAGGCGACGAUCAGUAGCUGGUCUGAGAGGACGAUCAGCCACACUGGGACUGAGACACGGCCCAGACUCCUACGGGAGGCAGCAGUGGGGAAUUUUCCGCAAUGGGCGAAAGCCUGACGGAGCAAUACCGCGUGAGGGAGGAAGGCUCUUGGGUCGUAAACCUCUUUUCUCAGGGAAGAACACAAUGACGGUACCUGAGGAAUAAGCAUCGGCUAACUCCGUGCCAGCAGCCGCGGUAAUACGGAGGAUGCAAGCGUUAUCCGGAAUGAUUGGGCGUAAAGCGUCCGCAGGUGGCGAAGUAAGUCUGCUGUUAAAGCGUCUAGCUCAACUAGAUAAGAGCAGUGGAAACUACUUACGCUAGAGUGCGUUCGGGGCAGAGGGAAUUCCUGGUGUAGCGGUGAAAUGCGUAGAGAUCAGGAAGAACACCAGUGGCGAAGGCGCUCUGCUAGGCCGCAACUGACACUGAGGGACGAAAGCUAGGGGAGCGAAUGGGAUUAGAUACCCCAGUAGUCCUAGCCGUAAACGAUGGAUACUAGGCGUGGCUUGUAUCGACCCGAGCCGUGCCGUAGCUAACGCGUUAAGUAUCCCGCCUGGGGAGUACGCCGGCAACGGUGAAACUCAAAGGAAUUGACGGGGGCCCGCCCAAGCGGUGGAGUAUGUGGUUUAAUUCGAUGCAACCCGAAGAACCUUACCAAGGCUUGACUUGUCCCGGAAUCUUCUU
rnacentral:rRNA from 1 species